rnacentral:rRNA from 1 species
GACGAACGCUGGCGGCGUGCUUAACACAUGCAAGUCGAACGGAAAGGCCCUGCUUUUGUGGGGUGCUCGAGUGGCGAACGGGUGAGUAACACGUGAGUAACCUGCCCUUGACUUUGGGAUAACUUCAGGAAACUGGGGCUACUACCGGAUAGGAGCUCCUGCUGCAUGGUGGGGGUUGGAAAGUUUCGGCGGUUGGGGAUGGACUCGCGGCUUAUCAGCUUGUUGGUGGGGUAGUGGCUUACCAAGGCUUUGACGGGUAGCCGGCCUGAGAGGGUGACCGGCCACAUUGGGACUGAGAUACGGCCCAGACUCCUACGGGAGGCAGCAGUGGGGAAUAUUGCACAAUGGGCGGAAGCCUGAUGCAGCAACGCCGCGUGCGGGAUGACGGCCUUCGGGCUGUAAACCGCUUUCGCCUGUGACGAAGCGUGAGUGACGGUAAUGGGUAAAGAAGCACCGGCUAACUACGUG